AACAUCACAACCAAUUUCACUACUUUGUAGCCUAAAUGCUCUCCCUCUGAAACAAUAACCUCUCACUCCCUCGAAAACCUCUCAACCUUCAGUUGAAAUGAAAAAGAGGAAUAAGCCGCGAACAAACUAUGUUUAUGCCUCUAUACCAACGCAGCGGAUGCUCUUCGACAAAGAAAUAUUGAACUCGAAAAAGUUAAUUUUAUGGAUACUCCUAUGCCAAGCAAAGUCUGCGAAAAACAAGGAUCGGAUCCAACACAGUAUCAUCCGACAAAAGGUCGGAUCGACAAAUCCAAUAGUAUUUCAUGUCAUAAAAUGGUGUCAUUAGUUGAAAUAGCAAAGGAAAAUGUCAUGAAUCAAGCGAACAAGACGCUAUGCAGACAAUCUUUGGCAAAAGUUUAUCCUACAAGAAGAGGAUGAGAUCUGGUCCGAGACCACAAAAUACCAAAGAGGUGGCUGAGAUCUGGUCCGAGACCAUAAAGUUAAAAAAGGUGGUUGAGAUCUCGUCCAAGAACACAAAAUAAAAUAGAGGUGGUUGAGAUCUGGUCUAAGACGACAAAGUAAAAAAGAGGUGGCUGAGAUAUGGUUCGAGACCACAAAGUAAAAAAGAGGUGGCUGAGAUACUCCCAAGAGUAUGUUCAGACUUUGGAAGCUCGACUUGCAAAAACUUAAGAAUCACUAUAGAGUGAACGACAUGAAUUCUUAGAGCCACAACGUUUGGCGGCUGAACUUUGGUGAAGUUCUUUCCUUAAUAUUGUUAUUGGAUCUUGAGUGCAUUGGGAGGUAUGGUGCCUAAUGUGAAAUUUGAUUUAGACUUUGUUGGAGCUUUUGUUUUUUGUGCCUGGUGCGUCUUAUGUUUGUUGUUGGAGUUUGAAACAUUUGGAUGUGGAGUUUGUUAUAGAGUUUGUUGUUGCAGUUGGAGAAUUAUGUUUUGUGUUCCAUGUAAGUUUAUUGUUGGAGCUUGAGAAAUAUAUUUUUGCUCUGGUGGAUGUGAAGUUUGUUGCCAUAGGUUGAAAUUUUGAACGUGCCUUA